GAAGGCGGACCGCUGGGAGGAGCCGACGUGGGAAAUCAAAUGAAGGAUCACUAGAAAUAGAAAAUGUGGAUCUUUUACCCCAUGAUGGAAAAUGCUACAGAUGAACCAAAAAGCAUCGGGAUAAAAAGCAUCGUACAGCAUCUGAACAGUCCACCAACCUUACGAUAUUCAUUCUACCUGGUUUUGAACUUCAUGGAAAUGGAAUAAUACGAGAUGGGAGUCUUGCCAUGUUGCCUAGCCUGAAGUUCAGUGGCUAUUCACAGGCACGAUCACAGUGCACUACAGCCUCAAACACCUGUGCUCAGCAGUCCUCCUGCCUCAGCCUCCUGAGUAGCUGAAACUACUGUGUGCACCACACCCAGCCAUGUAAAUGGUAAAACCAACCUGCUAAUUUCUACAAAAUACUCUAAUGGGAUUUUUAUUGAGAUUACAUUAAAUCUAUAAAUCAAUUUGGGAA